rnacentral:tRNA from 1 species
UAACUAUUAAUUUAAAUAAAAAUAUUAAUUUUGUAAAUUAAAUAUAUAAAUAACUAUAUAGUUAA